rnacentral:rRNA from 1 species
UACGUAGGGGUCGAGCGUUGUCCGGAGUACUGGGCGUAAAGCGUGCGCAGGCGGCUCAUUGCGCCCGGCGUGAAAGCCCCCGGCUCAACCGGGGAGGGUCGUCGGGGACGGGUGAGCUUGAGGGUAUCAGGGGUUGGUGGAAUUCCCGGUGUAGUGGUGAAAUGCGUAGAGAGUCGGGAGGAACACCCGUGGCGAAGGCGGCCAACUGGGAUACACCUGACGCUGAGGCACGAAGGCGUGGGGAGCGAACGGG